GAUGAACGCUGGCGGCGUGCCUAAUACAUGCAAGUCGAGCGAACGGACGAGAAGCUUGCUUCUCUGAUGUUAGCGGCGGACGGGUGAGUAACACGUGGAUAACCUACCUAUAAGACUGGGAUAACUUCGGGAAACCGGAGCUAAUACCGGAUGAUAUUUUGAACCGCAUGGUUCAAAAGUGAAAGACGGUCUUGCUGUCACUUAUAGAUGGAUCCGCGCUGCAUUAGCUAGUUGGUAAGGUAACGGCUUACCAAGGCAACGAUGCAUAGCCGACCUGAGAGGGUGAUCGGCCACACUGGAACUGAGACACGGUCCAGACUCCUACGGGAGGCAGCAGUAGGGAAUCUUCCGCAAAGGGCGAAAGCCUGACGGAGCAACGCCGCGUGAGUGAUGAAGGUCUUCGGAUCGUAAAACUCUGUUAUUAGGGAAGAACAUAUGUGUAAGUAACUGUGCACAUCUUGGCGGUACCUAAUCAGAAAGCCACGGCUAACUACGUG
rnacentral:rRNA from 1 species